AGAACGAACGCUGGCGGCAGGCUUAACACAUGCAAGUCGAACGCUCGUAGCAAUACGGGAGUGGCAGACGGGUGAGUAACGCGUGGGAACAUACCCUCCGGUUCGGAAUAGCUCAGGGAAACUUGGAUUAAUACCGGAUACGGCCGAGAGGCGAAAGAUUUAUCGCCGGAGGAUUGGCCCGCGUUCGAUUAGCUAGUUGGUGAGGUAACGGCUCACCAAGGCGAUGAUCGAUAGCUGGUCUGAGAGGAUGAUCAGCCACAUUGGGACUGAGACACGGCCCAAACCCCUACGGGAGGCAGCAGUGGGGAAUAUUGGACAAUGGGCGCAAGCCUGAUCCAGCCAUGCCGCGUGAGUGAUGACGGCCUUAGGGUUGUAAAGCUCUUUCGCUCGGGACGAUAAUGACGGUACCGAGAUAAGAGCCCCGGCUAACUUCGUGCCAGCAGCCGC
rnacentral:rRNA from 1 species